UACGAAGGGUGCAAGCGUUACUCGGAAUUACUGGGCGUAAAGGGUGCGUAGGCGGUUCGUUAAGUCUGUCGUGAAAUCCCCGGGCUCAACCUGGGAAUGGCGAUGGAUACUGGCGAGCUAGAGUGUGUCAGAGGAUGGUGGAAUUCCCGGUGUAGCGGUGAAAUGCGUAGAGAUCGGGAGGAACAUCAGUGGCGAAGGCGGCCUGCUGGGCUGUUGCUGACGCUGAGACACGAAAGCCAGGGGAGCGAACGGG
rnacentral:rRNA from 1 species